CCGGCCACUUUCAUUGCAUGCAAGUGGCUUUCCGUUCCCAGUGUUCUCUCACAGCGCCAACUCCUUCGUCCUUGCAACGUCCCAUUUUCUAAUUCCCAAACAAUCAGCCUUCUCUCGCGGCAACCCUAGUGGUCACACGGCCGGCUCUCUACUUGAAAUCUCCAUGUAUCGGUACCCUCCAUUUCCAGCUUCCCUUACAAAUUGAAGGUCCAUCCCUCGAUUUCGAAAAAUUUCUCAGAUUUUGGGCAGAAUAGUAUGGCAACCCGAGGCUCCAGGUGUAUCAAUUGUGAUCAAUCCUUAUCUUAUAUUAUGAUGUGCAUAGCAUGAUCAAGCUGGUAGUACUGUGAUGGAUAAGAGUUGGAUGAAUUUGCCUGAUAGACUUCGAGCACCUGCAUAUGCCGAAGGGGUUAACCACUUCCUCACACUAGCACGAAGCCAUGCUAUGGGAAGUGACCGAAUCUGGUCUCCUUGUAGGCUAUGCUGUAAUAAUUUAUUCUUGCCUUUUAGAGAGGUGGAGACUCACCUCUUCAUUAAAGGGUUCAAUCCUACUUACACCCAAUGGAUAUUUCAUGGGUAGGAGGAAACUCGCCUUUUGAUUGGCGUCGAUUCCGAUCUCGAUCUCAGUGAUGAGGAUGAAUACAUAGAUGACAUGGACCAUAUGUUAGAUGACAUAUGGGCAGGGACAUUCCAUAAUGUCCCUGAAGGUAGCCAAGGCGACGCUAUUCCGAUGCCUUCACGCCCCUCCGUACCAGAAACUUCAUGUAAACCUUCUUUUGAUCAGCUACUAGAGGAUGCCUGACGUCCACUUUUUACGGGGU